rnacentral:rRNA from 1 species
UACGUAGGGUGCGAGCGUUUAAUCGGAAUUACUGGGCGUAAAGUGUGCGCAGGUGGCCGCGCAAGUCGAGUGUGAAAUCCCCGAGCUUAACUUGGGAAUUGCGCUCGAAACUACGUGGCUAGAGUGUGGCAGAGGGAGGUGGAAUUCCACGUGUAGCGGUGAAAUGCGUAGAGAUGUGGAGGAACACCAAUGGCGAAGGCAGCCUCUUGGGCCAACACUGACACUCAUGCACGAAAGCGUGGGGAGCAAACAGG